AUAUUUUAAAAAGCGGUAACUUUUGAUAACUUACCAUUUUCCAAAACCUGACCAUGGUGAGGAUUAUUCAUUUUUGAAAAAAAUCAGCUUUGACCGUUCCAUCAACACAAAAAACAGCAAUGACUUCAUAAAUUAUAUAUGACGUUUAUCAUUCAUGCGAAUUUUCGCAGAUUUUAAACUCUUUUUUAGACCACAAAAAUUCCCGCAAAAGUUAUUUUACGAAUAAUUUGUUACGUCUGACACGCA
rnacentral:lncRNA from 1 species